rnacentral:rRNA from 1 species
AUUGAACGCUGGCGGCAGGCCUAACACAUGCAAGUCGAGCGGAGCGGCGGACGGGUGAGUAAUGCCUAGGAAUCUGCCUGGUAGUGGGGGAUAACGUCCGGAAACGGGCGCUAAUACCGCAUACUAUCAGAUGAGCCUAGGUCGGAUUAGCUAGUUGGUGGGGUAAAGGCCUACCAAGGCGACGAUCCGUAACUGGUCUGAGAGGAUGAUCAGUAAAACGGGAACGGAGACACGGCCCAGAUUCCUACGGGAGGCAGAAGUGGGGAAUAUUGGACAAGGGGCGAAAGCCGAAUCCAGCCAUGCGGCGGGUGUGAAGAAGGUCUUCGGAUUGUAAAGUACUUUAAGUUGGGAGGCGUUACCAACAGAAUAAGCACCGGCUAACUACGUGCCAGCAGCCGCGGUAAUAC